rnacentral:rRNA from 1 species
AUUGAACGCUGGCGGAAUGCUUUACACAUGCAAGUCGAACGGCAGCACGGGGCAACCUGGUGGCGAGUGGCGAACGGGUGAGUAAUACAUCGGAACGUGCCCAAUCGUGGGGGAUAACGUAGCGAAAGUUACGCUAAUACCGCAUACGAUCUACGGAUGAAAGCGGGGGAUCGCAAGACCUCGCGCGAAUGGAGCGGCCGAUGUCAGAUUAGGUAGUUGGUGGGGUAAAGGAUCACCAAGCCAACGAUCUGUAGCUGGUCUGAGAGGACGACCAGCCACACUGGGACUUAGACACGGCCCAGACUCCUACGGGAGGCAGCAGUGGGGAAUUUUGGACAAUGUGCGCAAGCCUGAUCCAGCCAUUCCGCGUGCAGGAUGAAGGCCUUCGGGUUGUAAACUGCUUUUGUACGGAACGAAACGGCUCUCUCUAAUACAGGGGGCUAAUGACGGUACCGUAAGAAUAAGCACCGGCUAACUACGUGCCAGCCGCCGCAGUAAAAC